ACGUAAGGGGCGAGCGUUGUUCGGAAUUAUUGGGCGUAAAGGGUGCGUAGGCGGUCGUGCAAGCCUGGUGUGAAAUCCUGGGGCUUAACCCCAGAACUGCAUUGGGAACUGCGGGACUAGAGUCAUGGAAGGGGAGUUGGAAUUCCAGGUGUAGGGGUGAAAUCUGUAGAUAUCUGGAAGAACACCGGUGGCGAAGGCGAACUCCUGGCCAAUGACUGACGCUGAGGCACGAAAGUGCGGGGAGCAAACAG
rnacentral:rRNA from 1 species